rnacentral:tRNA from 1 species
GGAGGGGUACCGAAGUGGUCGUAACGGGAUCGCCUCGAAAGCGAUUUGGGCCGUAAGGUCCACGCGAGUCCGAAUCUCGCCCCCUCCGCCA